ensembl:lncRNA
AGCUUCACUUACAUUAUAAUGUUAGUCAAAGUUUUAACAGUCAUACUUCAGUUUCCUGUUUUCCACGUUUCUGAACACUGAAACAUUCUGAACAUUGAUGUGUAAAUGUGGGCAUUCAUCUGUUGUGUUCAUCUGUGUUCAAUGCUUAUCUAUCUGGCACCAGAAAGUUGUGGAAAUGAGAAGGAAGUUUUGACUUCUGGAGGUUUCCAUAUGUGCUCUGGUCAGGAUGCAGGCUCUCAGGGCUCUGCUGGUGCCUCUGGCUAACACAGGUCACACUCUCAUCUGCGCAAAGAGGAUCAUGACAUUUCAGUGAAGCAGAAAUCGCUAGCUGAAUCUGGGGCCGAACUUGUCACAGAUCAACAAGUGCUUCAGUGCACUUGCGUUUCAAAUUCGAUGUAAAUGCAUGCAGUAUGCAGUUGUGUUUUUGUAAAAGACAUUUGUACAUCUCUGUGAAUGAAGGAAACAGCAUAACAAGUGCCAGCAAAUCACUGAGAUGGAGACAUGUGUCUUGACUCAUCACAAAAUUUGACACCGGUCUGUCUCCCUCCAUCGUCCUCUCCUUCAGUCUCGGACUAACUCGUAAAUUAUAGUCCAGGAGCAGCACACUGAAGAACAUAAAGCAGAGUCUUUCUGGUUGGCAGUUUACCAAAAAUUACAUCUCCAGUCACUAAUAUCAUUUCUGAAAUUUGCUAAUACUGUUUGCUUCCAUAUUUCUCAUUUCCUCAUUUGUGCUACUGUGCCUUUAAGACAUCUAAGUAAACAUCCUUUGCUAAAAUUAAUUCAGAUUAUUUGCUUACUUAUGGGUCGCUGUCUUGCUAACAGGUUAAAUAUAGUUGACACUGCGCUAUCCUUCAAUAACAUCCACUUAGAAAAGGAUGCAUUCAUUUAAGGCAUGAGUAUCACAAAAGUAUUAAAGUGCCCCUGUUAUGGAUUUUUGAAAAUUACCUUUCAUGCAGUGUGUAACACAGCUCUAAUGAAAGAGAACAUCCUGCAAAAAGUAACCUUAUUACUAGUAUGCUGAUCUCAUUGACGUGUGCUAAUAAGGCUUGCAUUAACUGUUUAAUGUAGGAUGACAAGUGGUAAUGUCUAAUAUUAACACACAUCUAUGUCAUGCGUUAAGUAUUUAAUUAAGAUUACAUCAUAAAGAUAAUUCAUCUGAAGGCACUAAUUAAUGGGGAAAAUACAUGCAAAACAGCCCAAGCUGUCAUAAUGCACACAGGCUGUUCUGCGGUUCACAUGAUGUGCUUCGCUCUGACCUUCUCCUGUGUUGUUUUCUCAGACGGAGUGAACUUUUCACCCACUCUUGGGUGACUUUGUGUCUUCCUGUUCAGCUGAUGUGUGGAGAGUUCCUUCUGGGUUUAUUCACUCUUCCCAAUCCCUCCACAUCUCCAGUCUAAUGCAUUUGUGUUUGUGUCUGUGCAGCCGAGCGGAGGGAAAAGGAGCCGAGGGUAUCCACUGGAAAUCUCACGAUGCUUGUCAAGAACAUGUCAUGGUCAUAUUUCAACUCAAAAUCAAAAAUAUAUAUUUUGCUUUAAAAAAUUAUGAAGCAUUUUUAGGAGAGAUUAUUUUUUAUUGAAAAUGUAUUAAUACUGCAUUAUUUUUUAAACUAGUUAUGAGAAGCAUCAUUUUGGACCUAUGAGAUUCCAUAGUGGGUGGAGCCACUCUGCACAACUGAAAUGCAACAUAGUUUCUAAUAACUAUUCUAAUCAAGUCAGUUUUAGUGUCAUUGAGAUAAUAUUUCAGUUAUUAAUAUUUUUCAAUUAUUUUUAUUUUUAUAUUUUGUUUUACAGUUUAAUUGUAGGUAAAUUUUCGGUAAUUUUGUUGUGGAUUUUAGAUUUUGGUAAAUAUGU